CCUACGGGAGGCAGCAGUGAGGAAUAUUGGUCAAUGGACGAGAGUCUGAACCAGCCAAGUAGCGUGAAGGAUGACUGCCCUAUGGGUUGUAAACUUCUUUUAUAUGGGAAUAAAAUGUUCCACGUGUGGGAUUUUGUAUGUACCCUAUGAAUAAGGAUCGGCUAACUCCGUGCCAGCAGCCGCGGUAAUACGGAGGAUCCGAGCGUUAUCCGGAUUUAUUGGGUUUAAAGGGAGCGUAGGUGGAUUGUUAAGUCAGUUGUGAAAGUUUGCGGCUCAACCGUAAAAUUGCAGUUGAAACUGGCAGUCUGGAGUACAGUAGAGGUGGGCGGAAUGCGUGGUGUAGCGGUGAAAUGCUUAGAUAUCACGAAGAACUCCGAUUGCGAAGGCAGCUUACCAAACUAUAUCUGACGUUGAGGCACGAAAGCGUGGGUAGCAAACAGGAUUAGAUACCCGUGUAGUC
rnacentral:rRNA from 1 species